UGGCGAAGGCGGCCCCCUGGACAAAGACUGACGCUCAGGUGCGAAAGCGUGGGGAGCAAACAGGAUUAGAUACCCUGGUAGUCCACGCCGUAAACGAUGUCGACUUGGAGGUUGUGCCCUUGAGGCGUGGCUUCCGGAGCUAACGCGUUAAGUCGACCGCCUGGGGAGUACGGCCGCAAGGUUAAAACUCAAAUGAAUUGACGGGGGCCCGCACAAGCGGUGGAGCAUGUGGUUUAAUUCGAUGCAACGCGAAGAACCUUACCUACUCUUGACAUCCAGAGAACUUAGCAGAGAUGCUUUGGUGCCUUCGGGAACUCUGAGACAGGUGCUGCAUGGCUGUCGUCAGCUCGUGUUGUGAAAUGUUGGGUUAAGUCCCGCAACGAGCGCAACCCUUAUCCUUUGUUGCCAGCGGUCCGGCCGGGAACUCAAAGGAGACUGCCAGUGAUAAACUGGAGGAAGGUGGGAUGACGUCAAGUCAUCAUGGCCCUUACGAGUAGGGCUACACACGUGCUACAAUGGCGCAUACAAAGAGAAGCGACCUCGCGAGAGCAAGCGGACCUCAUAAAGUGCGUCGUAGUCCGGAUUGGAGUCUGCAACUCGACUCCAUGAAGUCGGAAUCGCUAGUAAUCGUAGAUCAGAAUGCUACGGUGAAUACGUUCCCGGGCCUUGUACACAC
rnacentral:rRNA from 1 species